rnacentral:rRNA from 1 species
GACGAACGCUGGCGGCGUGCCUAAUACAUGCAAGUCGAGCGAAGCGGCGGAUGGGUGAGUAACGCGUGGGUAACCUGCACUUAAGUCUGGGAUAACCUUUGGAAACAGAUGCUAAUACCGGAUACUAAAGGUUGGACAUUCGAUGCAUUAGCUAGUUGGUAAGGUAACGGCUUACCAAGCCGAUGAUGCAUAGCCGACUUGAGAGGAUGAUCGGCCACAUUGGGACGGAGACACGGCCCAAACUCCUACGGGAGGCAGCAGUGGGGAAUCUUCCACAAUGGGCGAAAGUCUGAUGGAGCAACGCCGCGUGAGUGAAGAAGGUGUUCGGAUCGUAAAGCACUGUUGUUGGUGAAGCGGUAAUCAACCAGAAAGUCACGGCUAACUACGUGCCAGCAGCCGCGGUAAUAC